ensembl:misc_RNA 7SK 7SK RNA
GGAUGUGAGGGCAAUCUGGCUGUGACAUCUGUCACCUCAUUGAUCACUAGGGUUGAUACAGCCCAUCUGGCUGGCUAGGCAGGUGUCCCCCUUCCUCCCUCACCACUCCUUGUGCAUGCCUCCCAAAGCUGCACACUGGGUCGAAGAAGAUGACCAUCCCAGAUAGAUGAGGAUGGGUCUUCAGUCAAGGGUAUAUGAUUACUUGUGCUCCUCUGCUAGAACCUCCAAACAAGUUCUCAAGUAAUGUGCAAUGAAAACAAAAAACUUUAUAAGUUCUUUACCUUUCAAAGUACCAUCUAU